rnacentral:rRNA from 1 species
CCUACGGGAGGCAGCAGUGAGGAAUAUUGGUCAAUGGGCUUACGCCUGAACCAGCCAAGUCGCGUGAGGGAAGACUGCCCUAUGGGUUGUAAACUUCUUUUAUAAAGGAGUAAAGUGAGGCACGUGUGCCUUUUUGUAUGUACUUUAUGAAUAAGGAUCGGCUAACUCCGUGCCAGCAGCCGCGGUAAUACGGAGGAUCCGAGCGUUAUCCGGAUUUAUUGGGUUUAAAGGGAGCGUAGAUGGGUUGUUAAGUCAGUUGUGAAAGUUUGCGGCUCAACCGUAAAAUUGCAAUUGAUACUGGCAGCCUUGAGUACAGUUGAGGUAGGCGGAAUUCGUGGUGUAGCGGUGAAAUGCUUAGAUAUCACGAAGAACUCCGAUUGCGAAGGCAGCUUACUAAACUGCCACUGACAUUGAUGCUCGAAAGUGUGGGUAUCAAACAGGAUUAGAUACCCCAGUAGUC